rnacentral:lncRNA from 1 species
UUUCAGUCUGAAAAGUCUGUGAGGAGUCCAACAUGUUCUGCCUGUGGAUGAGUCUGAGUCUGCUCUAUGUUCUGCAAAGCUGUGUCUCGUCUGAUCAAACUGUGUCACUGAUUUGCAACGACACAGUGGGAGUGAAAGAUGGAGACACUGCAACACUGAACUGUUCUAUAAGAUGGAAUAAAAAUCAAGAUCCAGAGGAGUGUAUGAAUACAAGAUACACCUGGAGGGACUCAAGUGGCACCAUGUUAUGUGGCACGACUGGAUACAUCUGUGAUUCAGAUAUUCAGACCUACGUGUCUCUGAUCAUCUCAGAUGUCAAAAAAGAGGACAAUUAUUCAGUGAUCUUAAAACCAGGCUGUGGUAUGGACUCAAAAUCUAUCAGCCUGAGAGUCUCUGCAGGUGGGCCCGCUCCCCCACGUGACAUCCCUGACCCUCCUCCCAGGGUUACCUCGCUGUUAGUGACAGCCGGGGUACUUGCGUGCAUUGGCGUCAUCACUGUUGCAGCCAUUUUGGGUCUCUGUCUGUGCACGGGCAGAAAACGUGAACUCAGCAACUGUGACAAUAAAAGUGACACCUCACUAUUUGACAGAACUAAUUCUCUAUAUUGAUUAUCUCAAUAUAAUCCUGCUCUUAUUAUAAACAUGUCUGUUUGGUAAGAACAUGUUUUCCAUGAACUUGGAAUGUUUCUUUUGAUUAUGGAUUUUACUUAUCGGAGGGCAUUUGUAAUAUACAUUAUUCAAAUUAUUAUUAUUUAGAUGAGUAUGAUGUCAUUGGGGUCAUGUGCAUUUGUGGAGAAGGGG